GAGCGACUAGCUCAUUUGGUAGAGCGACUCUUUGACGUAGAGUAGGUGACAGGUUCGAUUCCUGUGUCGCUCA
rnacentral:tRNA from 1 species